rnacentral:lncRNA from 1 species
UAUUUAAUAACAAAUAUUUAUUCAGUAAUAAAUAUUACUGAAAGUUAAGACACUGUACUAGAUGCAAUUUAUGUAAUAUUGUGUCCUUGAUAAUUAAAUAGAGCAUUUCAUAGGUCAAUGUUGAAAAACUGCUACCUAUGAGAACUCUUUCAAACUCUUUCCAUAUUUUUUGUAUUAUUGCUCAGGUUGUAAGGGAAAAGAGCCGCAAUUAGGAGCUUGCCCAAGCCUUCUUGAUACGUAUUCCUUAAUGUAUCCACAUUGGAACCAUUUGGGGCUCAUAUUAA